rnacentral:tRNA from 1 species
GGACCUAUGGCUCAGUGGAAAAGCAUUUGCCUUCCAUACAGAAAGUCCCAGGUUCAAUCCCCAGCAACUCUAGGUUAG